UAAUAGCCUCUGAUCACGCGACAAAAUCAAAUUAAACAUAAAUAUUGUGAAUUUUAAAAUUUCUUACAUAAGAUUACAAUGAAGGGAAGAUAUGUAUAUAUAUAUCAUUCUUACGUUUAGCUAUUAUAUUUUCAGCUGAUAAAAACAUGCUCAGCUUCUCAAUUGUAGAUUCGCUAAUCAGAUUAGGAUAUCUACAAAAAAAGCCAGUAAUAACAAUGAGAAAUUACAAUGCUAACGAAGAGAAAUAAAAUAAUUUCAAGCAUAAACCUUGAUUUUAAUAAUUCCACUAAUAAAAAAUUUCCACGAUUAGUUUUGAUGUCAUAAGGACUAGAGAAGAUACAACAUAUGAUGAAGAUACAACAUAUUCAAUGUAAAUUCAAACUUCAAUAUAUACUCAUACGUACACAGUGGAGAUAAUUUCAUCUCUUGUUCGACGAUACAGGAGGAUUGGUCCCGAAUAUCUACAAAUGAUUUGAUGAUAAGGUAAACCACUGCUGCCAGCAAAACCAGGAUGAUUCCAACCAAGAACAGAAUAUCCAUCUCUAAAACGAUGUGCAAAUUGCACAUUGCACACCGUUAAUUGGCACACUGGUUAUGGCAACAAAGAAUGUACGGCUGUUGCUUAUGGCAACAACAUGACCUUAUGACAGGCAAAGAUUAUUGAAACAUAGGAAAAAAAGUGAAGAAUUUAAACACCUGGCUAUUUUCAGAGAGUAUCCUCUGUUUCAUUCCAGUAAAAGUCUACGGGCCAAGAAGAAAAUUCAAAGUCAUAGAGAGCCAGUUGUUGCUACAGAAUGAACAUUUUAAUACAUAUUUAAAAUCAAAACACAAAGGAAUGUGAAUAAUAAACUCCUUACUCGAGCAGUA